AUUUGGUUCAUUUUUCAUAUAGGGCCAAGACAUAUACAAGUCUAAACAAGUGAGAGAUAAGCAAAUUGUCCGCAUACUCGGGAAGGCGCCUACAAUUGCUGCAGCCGCUUACUUGAGAAUGGCUGGAAGGCCACCUGUUCUUCCAUCCAGCAACCUCUCAUACUCAGAGAACUUCUUAUAUAUGCUUGAUUCAUUGGGCAACAGGUCUUAUAAACCUAAUCCACGGCUUGCUCGUGCUCUUGAUAUUCUUUUCAUAUUACAUGCAGAACAUGAAAUGAAUUGCUCCACUGCAGCUGCAAGGCACCUUGCUUCAAGGUUGUAUCUUAUUG